rnacentral:piRNA from 1 species
AACAAAAAGCUAGAGAAGGACCAAACAG